CCAGUAGCGGCGAGCGAACGGGGAGGAGCCCAGAGCCUGAAUCAGUGUGUGUGUUAGUGGAAGCGUCUGGAAAGGCGCGCGAUACAGGGUGACAGCCCCGUACACAAAAAUGCACAUGCUGUGAGCUCGAUGAGUAGGGCGGGACACGUGGUAUCCUGUCUGAAUAUGGGGGGACCAUCCUCCAAGGCUAAAUACUCCUGACUGACCGAUAGUGAACCAGUACCGUGAGGGAAAGGCGAAAAGAACCCCGGCGAGGGGAGUGAAAAAGAACCUGAAACCGUGUACGUACAAGCAGUGGGAGCACAGAGCAAUCUGUGUGACUGCGUACCUUUUGUAUAAUGGGUCAGCGACUUAUAUUCUGUAGCAAGGUUAACCGAAUAGGGGAGCCGAAGGGAAACCGAGUCUUAACUGGGCGUUAAGUUGCAGGGUAUAGACCCGAAACCCGGUGAUCUAGCCAUGGGCAGGUUGAAGGUUGGGUAACACUAACUGGAGGACCGAACCGACUAAUGUUGAAAAAUUAGCGGAUGACUUGUGGCUGGGGGUGAAAGGCCAAUCAAACCGGGAGAUAGCUGGUUCUCCCCGAAAGCUAUUUAGGUAGCGCCUCGUGAAUUCAUCUCCGGGGGUAGAGCACUGUUUCGGCAAGGGGGUCAUCCCGACUUACCAACCCGAUGCAAACUGCGAAUACCGGAGAAUGUUAUCACGGGAGACACACGGCGGGUGCUAACGUCCGUCGUGAAGAGGGAAACAACCCAGACCGCCAGCUAAGGUCCCAAAGUCAUGGUUAAGUGGGAAACGAUGUGGGAAGGCCCAGACAGCCAGGAUGUUGGCUUAGAAGCAGCCAUCAUUUAAAGAAAGCGUAAUAGCUCACUGGUCGAGUCGGCCUGCGCGGAAGAUGUAACGGGGCUAAACCAUGCACCGAAGCUGCGGCAGCGACACUGUGUGUUGUUGGGUAGGGGAGCGUUCUGUAAGCCUGUGAAGGUGUGCUGUGAGGCAUGCUGGAGGUAUCAGAAGUGCGAAUGCUGACAUAAGUAACGAUAAAGCGGGUGAAAAGCCCGCUCGCCGGAAGACCAAGGGUUCCUGUCCAACGUUAAUCGGGGCAGGGUGAGUCGACCCCUAAGGCGAGGCCGAAAGGCGUAGUCGAUGGGAAACAGGUUAAUAUUCCUGUACUUGGUGUUACUGCGAAGGGGGGACGGAGAAGGCUAUGUUGGCCGGGCGACGGUUGUCCCGGUUUAAGCGUGUAGGCUGGUUUUCCAGGCAAAUCCGGAAAAUCAAGGCUGAGGCGUGAUGACGAGGCACUACGGUGCUGAAGCAACAAAUGCCCUGCUUCCAGGAAAAGCCUCUAAGCAUCAGGUAACAUCAAAUCGUACCCCAAACCGACACAGGUGGUCAGGUAGAGAAUACCAAGGCGCUUGAGAGAACUCGGGUGAAGGAACUAGGCAAAAUGGUGCCGUAACUUCGGGAGAAGGCACGCUGAUAUGUAGGUGAAGUCCCUCGCGGAUGGAGCUGAAAUCAGUCGAAGAUACCAGCUGGCUGCAACUGUUUAUUAAAAACACAGCACUGUGCAAACACGAAAGUGGACGUAUACGGUGUGACGCCUGCCCGGUGCCGGAAGGUUAAUUGAUGGGGUCAGCGCAAGCGAAGCUCUUGAUCGAAGCCCCGGUAAACGGCGGCCGUAACUAUAACGGUCCUAAGGUAGCGAAAUUCCUUGUCGGGUAAGUUCCGACCUGCACGAAUGGCGUAAUGAUGGCCAGGCUGUCUCCACCCGAGACUCAGUGAAAUUGAACUCGCUGUGAAGAUGCAGUGUACCCGCGGCAAGACGGAAAGACCCCGUGAACCUUUACUAUAGCUUGACACUGAACAUUGAGCCUUGAUGUGUAGGAUAGGUGGGAGGCUUUGAAGUGUGGACGCCAGUCUGCAUGGAGCCGACCUUGAAAUACCACCCUUUAAUGUUUGAUGUUCUAACGUGGACCCGUGAUCCGGGUUGCGGACAGUGUCUGGUGGGUAGUUUGACUGGGGCGGUCUCCUCCUAAAGAGUAACGGAGGAGCACGAAGGUUGGCUAAUCCUGGUCGGACAUCAGGAGGUUAGUGCAAUGGCAUAAGCCAGCUUGACUGCGAGCGUGACGGCGCGAGCAGGUGCGAAAGCAGGUCAUAGUGAUCCGGUGGUUCUGAAUGGAAGGGCCAUCGCUCAACGGAUAAAAGGUACUCCGGGGAUAACAGGCUGAUACCGCCCAAGAGUUCAUAUCGACGGCGGUGUUUGGCACCUCGAUGUCGGCUCAUCACAUCCUGGGGCUGAAGUAGGUCCCAAGGGUAUGGCUGUUCGCCAUUUAAAGUGGUACGCGAGCUGGGUUUAGAACGUCGUGAGACAGUUCGGUCCCUAUCUGCCGUGGGCGCUGGAGAACUGAGGGGGGCUGCUCCUAGUACGAGAGGACCGGAGUGGACGCAUCACUGGUGUUCGGGUUGUCAUGCCAAUGGCACUGCCCGGUAGCUAAAUGCGGAAGAGAUAAGUGCUGAAAGCAUCUAAGCACGAAACUUGCCCCGAGAUGAGUUCUCCCUGACCCUUUAAGGGUCCUGAAGGAACGUUGAAGACGACGACGUUGAUAGGCCGGGUGUGUAAGCGCAGCGAUGCGUUGAGCUAACCGGUACUAAUGAACCGUGAGGCUUAACCUUACAACGCCGAAGGUGUUU
rnacentral:rRNA from 1 species